CAAGUUCCUGUGUGUGCAUGUAUGUGUGCAUGCACAUGUGUAUAAAUUUCCUUUUAUUCAGAGGAGAGAUUACAUAAUAAGUAUGGAGAUAAACAGACA
rnacentral:miRNA from 1 species